AUUGAACGCUGGCGGCAGGCUUAACACAUGCAAGUCGAGCGGAGAUGAGGUGCUUGCACCUUAUCUUAGCGGCGGACGGGUGAGUAAUGCUUAGGAAUCUGCCUAUUAGUGGGGGACAACAUUCCGAAAGGAAUGCUAAUACCGCAUACGCCCUACGGGGGAAAGCAGGGGAUCUUCGGACCUCGCGCUAAUAGAGGAGCCUAAGUCGGAUUAGCUAGUUGGUGGGGUAAAGGCCUACCAAGGCAACGAUCCGUAGCGGGUCUGAGAGGAUGAUCCGCCACACUGGGACUGAGACACGGCCCAGACUCCUACGGGAGGCAGCAGUGGGGAAUAUUGGACAAUGGGCGGAAGCCUGAUCCAGCCAUGCCGCGUGUGUGAAGAAGGCCUUUUGGUUGUAAAGCACUUUAAGCGAGGAGGAGGCUACCUGGAUUAAUACUCUAGGAUAGUGGACGUUACUCGCAGAAUAAGCACCGGCUAACUCUGUGCCAGCCGCCGCAGUAAUAC
rnacentral:rRNA from 1 species